CGGGCGGGGACGGGCGGGGGACCGACCGCCGCGCAGCUCGGGCCGCAGCGCGCAUACACCCGGCCCGGCUCCCGAGGGCGCCAGCGCGGCCCCGGGGAGCGCGAGGAGCCGGCGAGCGCGCGGCCUGCCGUUGGCGGCCUGGUCCGCCACGCUCGGCGCCCACCCGCCCCCGAGGCGGGGUCCAAGCCCCCGGGAAGAUGGUGUCCUGGAUGAUCUCCAGAGCCGUGGUGUUGGUGUUUGGAAUGCUUUAUCCUGCAUAUUAUUCAUACAAAGCUGUGAAGACCAAAAACGUGAAGGAAUAUGUCCGAUGGAUGAUGUACUGGAUUGUUUUUGCUCUCUAUACUGUGAUUGAAACAGUAACAGAUCAAACAGUCGCUUGGUUCCCCCUGUACUAUGAGCUUAAGAUUGCCUUUGUCGUGUGGCUGCUCUCUCCCUAUACCAAAGGAGCAAGUUUAAUAUAUAGAAAAUUCCUUCAUCCGCUUCUUUCUUCCAAGGAAAGGGAGAUAGAUGACUAUAUUGUCCAAGCCAAGGAGCGGGGCUACGAGACGGUGGUCAGCUUCGGCCGGCAAGGACUGGCUUUUGCAGCCACUGCUGCGGUCACUGCAGCCGUGAAGAGCCAAGGAGCAAUAACCGAACGUUUACGAAGUUUUAGUAUGCAUGAUCUAACAGCUAUCCAGGGCGAUGAGCCUGUGGGACAAAGGCCAUUCCAACCUCUACAAGAAACAAAAAAGAAAAGUAAAUCAGUCUCCGGUGAAUCAGCAGGUGUGCUUGUUUGUUUUGAUAUAUUUUUCUUUCACAAUUGGAAUUUUGAGUCCAGGUUAUGGAAUUCCACUGAAAGACGGAGAUGAGAAAACUGAUGAAGAAGCGGAGGGGCCGUAUUCAGAUGAUGAGAUGUUAACACACAAAGGGCUUCGAAGAUCGCAAAGCAUGAAAUCUGUGAAAACCGUGAAAGGCCGCAAAGAGGUUAGUCAGGUACGGUAUGGAUCACUAAAAUACAAAGUGAAGAAGAGACCACAGGUGUAUUUUUAGUCAUCUGCACUUCAAGAAUCCCAAGACAAAUUACACUAACACGUUGACUUUUUUGCUAACAUUAUUCAUUCAGGACUUACACAUUAAAAUAAUACUUUAAAUUGUGGCAGUGAUAGGGUUUAUUUUCAUCAAUUUAAAUAGCUUUUAAUUUCUUUCACCAUUACUUCCAUGUCCAGAAUACGAAAGGUAGUUAUGCAGAGCUUAUUUAUGUAUAUGUAUAUAUAUCUCAGAAAUAAUAGAAAAUUGUGUUACCUGUUUUCAAAUUCCUCAACAACACUGAGUGCCUGGGAUAUUAAGAUGAAACACAAACCCACAGUAUACUUGAGUCUUUUUACGGUUUAAGAUACAUCAGCCUUUGUGCUAUUGUAUUUGUGUUUACCUCUGUUUAUAUUCUAUCUAUCACAUGAGGAUAGUAAUUAAGUAGGCCUCUGAUCCAGCAGUGAUAGGACAAGGGUAUAAUGUAAGAUAACAGCAUGUUUUAUAUAUCCUUUAAAUUUUUACUUUUUUAAUACUUUCUGGUUUUUCCAUCGUCGACUGAAAGUUUUCGAAACAAGUGUUUGAAAGCCUGGUCUCCACAUAGCACUUUUUAUUCCUGACUAGUUUUGCACACUUGAAAAUUGUUUACUUAUUUGCGACUGUACAUUUAAGUUUUAUUGACACUAUACUGUUAUUUGUCACAUCCCGACAUGUCACAUUUAUGCCUUGAAUUUCGUCAUCUCUUUUCCUGUGGGUUUCAUUUGUUAAAUUCAUUAGAUUCUAAUAAUAUGAAAAUACAGCUCAUUGUUCAACUUUAACUAUUUUUAACUCUCUGUAGGUGAGAAGCUGUUUUAAACAUCAACCAGUUUUCCAUACAUCAUAGUUGAACUUAGCAUGUUCUGUUAACACUGGUUACAUUUUCAGCAUUUAAAUAGAGUAGUUUUUGUGAAACAGGGUCAUGAAGUUACCCAACAGUUGGUCCAUUCACAAGCCUAGCACUGAUACGUGCUGCUGAUUUAUAAAUCUAUAUUGACUAGAAUCAUUUAAAUCUCCCGUCUUCUGGCUGAGUUCGUUCCCUGAAGAUAGGUGCCAAUGCAAAAUACAGAUGUUAAUCUUACAUACUAGAAGCUACUAGAAUAGAUAUUAGAAAAAUAUUUUUUUAAUCCAAGAGAUUUUGAAUUACAGAACACGGAGGCUUUUUUAGGUGGCAUUGAUAACUAUGCAUUCUGAAGUCUCUAUUUCUGGUGGUGGUUUUAAUGAUCCGUAGUCAAAUUUGUACAGUUAAUUCAGAUAAUUUACUUUGACUGUUCUGUUUGUCGAAAAGAAAAAGCAGUGAGCAAGAUUUGUGAGAUCGUUGACUUCUCUACCUUUUUAAGAAAUGAAACCAGCUGGCAAUGUAUAUUCAGGACCUCCUCAGAGUGUUGGCAGAGAACAGAAUGUUUAUUUAAGAGUACCUUAGUUUAAUUAAUACAUUGCUCUUGAUACAAGUCUCAAAACAUUUUCUGGACUAUCUCACAUUCUUGAUAUAUAACAUCAAGAAAAAAUUCGCUCAACUUCUUUUCUCCAAAAGUUUAAUUCUAUGAAUAUCUUCAUCUACUUUACCUUGACUAAUUUGUAGCCUUUGAGUUUCGAGAAAAACUCUUUGUGUUCAAAAUUCCUAGGGAUUCUGAUUAUAAAUGCUUGGAAUAUUGCAAAACUCCUUGGAAGGGAGUUUUAUUUAUAUUUCCUCGUACCAGACUUAUUAAUACAAAUGCUACACCGUAUAUGUCUUUCCUGCCUAAAGGCAGUGUCAUCUCAAGUAGCCUGACAAAGUCACGUAAGUGACUCUAUCUAAAAACAUUACCUGUGCGGGCUGUUCUGCUCCAUUUUAUCUUUUCUAAGUCUGAUCUGAGUAUUAAACCUAUUCCUUAAUUAUAGUAAACUCAUAAAUACUGUUCUAAAUUGGAGGCAUUAUUUAUCCCUCUCCACAAAUAAGACAGCACAGGUCGCAUGUCCUUCUCCACACGGUGCUUCCUCUGGUCUGUUUCUACUGUUACAUGCAGUGGAUGUCACUUUGCUGUUCCAUCAUUCCUUUCUCUCCUUUCCUUACAUUUCUGACAUUUUGCUGCUUUUCUCUUGUGUGUGUUUUAGCAUGCCCUUUCCUUGGAACUUUGUGUGAUAAGCUUAUAAAUCUUUGUCUCUUUUAAGGUGGAACAGGUCAGUUUUUGUUUCUCUGCUUUUGAGUCCACUGCUUUUAAAAGAGGUAAAUUUCUCUCUCGACCACAGUGCCUUGUUUUCCCAAUGCCACCAUUUGGUGAAGGGGCAUGAGAUGCUGCGCAAGCCUAUUUAAGGCGAUAUAAUGGUAGCUGUUAAAAUUUAUGCAGAAAUUGUAGCCGGUGUUUUAUUUUAUUAUAUAUUCAUUCAGCUUGUGCAUUAAUAUUAACUGUUCCCCGAGUUUGUUUGGAAGUGACAGUUGAUCUAUUCUUUAGUUUACCGUGUUUUUUCUGGGAUAAAAAAACGAGCCAGAAGUAAGUCUUAUUGCUAAGUAAUUAAUUAUGUAAACCCAUGUAGGUCCCGCACAAGAUUCCCUCCACACAGUUCACUCUAUGUAUGUGGAUUUGGCUAGAAAGUGGUAACUGCCAGCAUUACUGAUUAUAAAUACUUGACUACACAGAUUGAUGGAACAAAAUUAUUAAAGUGUUUUCAGGGAAUUGAAUCCAUAUGUCACCACCAAAGAUUCAUACAGUGUUAAAAAAUAUGUAAAUAUUCCAAAUCUCUGUAAAACACUGGUUAGAUAAAUAUGUCUUCUUUCGUUUCCUUUUUUGAUAACAUAGUUUGAGCUUCUGUAAUACUUGAACUUUUGUGUUAAAAAGAAUCCAAUGCUAUUUCCUAUUAAAUAUGAGUAAUUUGUAUGUUUAAUUGGAAUGGACUAAAUUUUUAUUUUGGUUUUCUUUUAUCAGGAAAAUUAAAGAGUUAAUAUGUAUCGACAAGCAAUUUCCUACAUGUUCCUAUAGGCCAAUUCAUUUGCAAAGCAAUUAGGCAAUUUUGAAAUCAUUGUUACUGUGGUAUGCAGUGUAUAUUUCUUAGUAAACAUCAUGUAAGAGUAAAACUUUCCAAAAGAAAAAUACAGCUUUUUCCUCUAAAUGGUUAAAGAUUUAAUCUUAUAGUAGUAUUCUACAGAUUCGUUGUAUAUUAACUUUUUAAAAAUUGACCAUGAAUUAACAUUUUCUCCUCUAACACCUCUUAAAUCUGUGUACUUUCAUAGUUCAGAGAAAGCUGUUUUGUAAUUUUUUAAACUCUUUGUAAAGGCUCUCUUGAGGCCUAGUAUGGGGGUAAUUUUACAAAUGUGUUUUUUGAAAACUUUAAUAUAAAAUAAACUCAUUUUAUUAGUGA